GACAUAGGUGGCAAACGUUAUCCGGAAUUAUUGGGCGUAAAGAGUGCGUAGGCGGUCCUGUAAGUUUGGUGUGAAAUCUCCCGGCUCAACUGGGAGGGUGCGCCGAAGACUGCAGGGCUUGAGUAUGGGAGAGGUAAGCGGAAUUCCUGGUGUAGCGGUGAAAUGCGUAGAUAUCAGGAGGAACACCGGUGGCGAAGGCGGUUCUCUGGGCAUUACCUGACGCUGAGGAGCGAAAGUGUGGGGAGCGAACAGG
rnacentral:rRNA from 1 species